rnacentral:rRNA from 1 species
AGCAGUAGCCACGGUAAUACGUAGGUCCCGAGCGUUGUCCGGAUUUAUUGGGCGUAAAGCGAGCGCAGGCGGUUAGAUAAGUCUGAAGUUAAAGGCUGUGGCUUAACCAUAGUACGCUUUGGUAACUGUUUAACUUGAGUGCAAGAGGGGAGAGUGGAAUUCCAUGUGUAGCGGUGAAAUGCGUAGAUAUAUGGAGGAACACCGGUGGCGAAAGCGGCUCUCUGGCUUGUAACUGACGCUGAGGCUCGAAAGCGUGGGGAGCAAACAGGAUUAGAUACCCCUGUAGUCCCUGUCUCUUAUACA